rnacentral:rRNA from 1 species
AUGGAGUUUAUUAGGAAAACUCUUGAGAAAGAGGUUAAAAGACAGCAUGAGCUACUCCAGAUCAAUCUGAAGGGAGGUGAUGAGGUGAAGGGGUCACAAUCUGGAGAUAAAAGUAGCAAUGAAGAUGAAGAGGUAGAAGCCGUUGAUGAGGAUAUGGGAGUGGAGGACAAACAGGAAGAAGGGGGAGAAAUGACAGAGCAAGAAUUGAUUGACCAGGCCAUUGGGCUAGGGUAUGUUGAGCCAUUGGAUUACAUAGCCAGUCAAGACACAGACUCUUUCGAGACUAAGAUAAAAAAAGCUAGGAAAGGAGAGGCUGUACUGAAAGAUGAAGAAGAGGAACUGAGAAGAUGUGCUAGACUAAAGGGAAAAGAAGAUCGUAACAUCACAGAACUGGCCAAGGAAAGAGCAGCAAAGAAAGAUAACUAUGGUGAGUUACCUUGUGUUGGAAGCUUUCCUAAAUCUAAUACUCUCCCGCAAAAGGUUGAUGAGGGGGUAGGGGUCACACUAGGAAAAAAUGCUGAGGUGAUUACACAUAAUCUGGAAUUGAUAAAAAAUGUAGAGCAGGCUAGAAUUGACUUGUGGCUGUCUGACUUAAAUAAGAAACAGAAACAAGAUGUGUUGCUUGAGGAGAAUGAGAUCAUUGAUACUAGGGAGCAUACCCUAGAAGAUCUUCUUGAUCAGGGAGAUGAGGAGGGGAAUAGAAAAGAUGAUGAGGACUGGAAAAUAGUUAGAGGACUUUUCUCAGCAAAGAAGGAGAUAAAAAAAGAGAAAACCACCAGAGGUUCUGGGGUGAAAACUGUCUUUGUUGUUAAAUUGUUAGAACUUUCUGCUAAGAAAAAGAAACAAAAAAUGAGAGGCAUCUUUUGGAAUAUGAGAGGUUUUGGGGGAGACAUUAAAAGGAGGUUCCUUAGGGAAAUGGUAAUGUACAUGAAAGUAGACUUUCUGGACCUGCAAGAGACCAUGAGACAAGAAUUUUCUAGAAAUGAUCUACAGAAAAUCUGUGCUGAUAGAGACUUCCACUGGCAUUUCACUCCUGCUAGGGGGAAAUCUGGUGGACUCUUGUUAGGAGUGAAUUACACCACUCUUGAUGUGAUUUCACAAAGUGAAGGAGACUACCAUAUUAAAAUGACAGUGCAAGAUCUAAAAACUAGGUUCAUUUGGGACUUGGUGGUGAUUUAUGGUGAUGCUCAACCUGAAAGGAAAUCUAAAUUCCUGGCUAAGCUGUCUAGAAUCUUCCAAACCAGUAUAAACCCUAUCUUGAUAUGGGGUGAUUUUAACAUCAUUAGAAAAGCCAGUGAAAAAAAUAAACCAGGUUCCCCUGGGCACUGGAGUUUUCUGUUUAAUGCUAUUUUGGAACAAGAUGGAGUUAGAGAGCUCAAGAUGAAUGUUAGACAAUUUACAUGGGGUAACAAUUUGCCUAUACCCACCUUUGAAAAAUUCGAUAGAAUUCUAUGUAGUACAUAA